GCAUUGGUGGUUCAGUGGUAGAAUCCUCGCCUUCCAUGCAGGAGACCUGGGUUUGAUUCCCAGUCAAUGCU
rnacentral:tRNA from 1 species